CUUAACCUGGGAACUGCAUUUGUGACUGGCGGGCUAGAGUAUGGCAGAGGGGGGUAGAAUUCCACGUGUAGCAGUGAAAUGCGUAGAGAUGUGGAGGAAUACCGAUGGCGAAGCAGCCCCUGGGCCAAUACUGACGCUCAUGCACGAAAGCGUGGGGAGCCAACAGGAUUAGAUACCCUGGUAGUCCACGCCCUAACGAUGUCAACUAGUUGUCGGGUCUUCAUUGACUUGGUACCGUAGCUAACGCGUGAAGUUGACCGCCUGGGGAGUACGGUCGCAAGAUUAAAACUCAAAGGAAUUGACGGCGACCCGCACAAGCGGUGGAUGAUGUGGAUUAAUUCGAUGCAACGCGAAAAACCUUACCUACCCUUGACAUGGUCCGGACCCUGCUGAAAGGCGGGGGUGCCCGAAAGGGAACUGAUACACAGGUGCUGCAUGGCUGUCGUCAGCUCGUGUCGUGAGAUGUUGGGUUAAGUCCCGCAACGAGCGCAACCCUUGUCCCUAGUUGCUACGCAAGAGCACUCCAGGGAGACUGCCGGUGACAAACCGGAGGAAGGUGGGGAUGACGUCAAGUCCUCAUGGCCCUUAUGGGUAGGGCUUCACACGUCAUACAAUGGUCGGAACAGAGG
rnacentral:rRNA from 1 species